GGUCCCAUAGCUCAACGGGAUAGAGCUUCAGUUUCCUAAACUGAAGAUGCAGGUUCGAGUCCUGCUGGGGUCA
rnacentral:tRNA from 1 species